UAGGGAAUCUUCCGCAAUGGGCGAAAGCUUGACGGAGCAACGCCGCGUGAGUGAUGAAGGUCUUCGGAUCGUAAAACUCUGUUAUUAGGGAAGAACAAAUAUGUAAGUAACUAUGCACGUCUUGACGGUACCUAAUCAGAAAGCCACGGCUAACUACGUGCCAGCAGCCGCGGUAAUACGUAGGUGGCAAGCGUUAUCCGGAAUUAUUGGGCGUAAAGCGCGCGUAGGCGGUUUUUUAAGUCUGAUGUGAAAGCCCACGGCUCAACCGUGGAGGGUCAUUGGAAACUGGAAAACUUGAGUGCAGAAGAGGAAAGUGGAAUUCCAUGUGUAGCGGUGAAAUGCGCAGAGAUAUGGAGGAACACCAGUGGCGAAGGCGACUUUCUGGUCUGUAACUGACGCUGAUGUGCGAAAGCGUGGGGAUCAAACAGG
rnacentral:rRNA from 1 species